AUUGAACGCUGGCGGCAGGCUUAACACAUGCAAGUCGAGCGGAGUGAUGGUGCUUGCACUAUCACUUAGCGGCGGACGGGUGAGUAAUGCUUAGGAAUCUGCCUAUUAGUGGGGGACGACAUCUCGAAAGGGAUGCUAAUACCGAAUACGUCCUACGGGAGAAAGCAGGGGAUCACUUGUGACCUUGCGCUAAUAGAUGAGCCUAAGUCGGAUUAGCUAGUUGGUGGGGUAAAGGCCUACCAAGGCGACGAUCUGUAGCGGGUCUGAGAGGAUGAUCCGCCACACUGGGACUGAGACACGGCCCAGACUCCUACGGGAGGCAGCAGUGGGAAUAUUGGACAAUGGGGGGAACCCUGAUCCAGCCAUGCCGCGUGUGUGAAGAAGGCCUUAUGGUUGUAAAGCACUUUAAGCGAGGAGGAGGCUUACCUAGUUAAUACCUGGGAUAAGUGGACGUUACUCGCAGAAUAAGCACCGGCUAACUCUGUGCCAGCCGCCGCAGUAAAAC
rnacentral:rRNA from 1 species